rnacentral:snRNA from 1 species
AUACUUAACUGGCAGGGGAGAUAUCAUGAUCACGAAGGUGGUUUUUCCCAGGCCGAGGCUUAUCCAUUGCACUCCGGAUGUGCUGACUCCUGCGAUUUCCCCAAAUGUGGGAAACUCGACUGCAUAAUUUGUGGUAGUGGGGGACUGCGUUUGCGCUUUUCCCCG